UACGGAGGGUGCGAGCGUUGUCCGGAAUCACUGGGCGUAAAGGGCGCGUAGGUGGCCUGUGGAAGUCUGCGGUGAAAGCCCGGCGCUCAACGCCGGGUCGGCCGUGGAUACUCUCGGGCUUGAGCUUACUAGAGGCAGAUGGAAUUCCGGGUGUAGCGGUGGAAUGCGUAGAGAUCCGGAAGAACACCAGUGGCGAAGGCGGCCCGCUGGGCAGUGGCUGACGCUGAGGCGCGACAGGCGUGGGGAGCAAACAGG
rnacentral:rRNA from 1 species